rnacentral:rRNA from 1 species
ACGCUCGACACCUACGGGUGGCAGCAGUGGGGAAUAUUGCACAAUGGGGGAAACCCUGAUGCAGCGACGCCGCGUGAGCGAAGAAGUAUUUCGGUAUGUAAAGCUCUAUCAGCAGGGAAGAAACUGACGGUACCUGACUAAGAAGCACCGGCUAAAUACGUGCCAGCAGCCGCGGUAAUCUGAGCGGGCUGGCAAGGC